rnacentral:pre_miRNA from 1 species
AUUUUAAUAUAUGUAUGUCCCAUGCAAUAUUUGGGACAUAAUUAUACUAAAA